rnacentral:rRNA from 1 species
GGACCUGACUGCUAUCGGAUUGAUACUAAGCCAUGCGAGUCAUUGUAGUAAUACAAGGCAGACGGCUCAGUAACGCGUAGUCAACCUACCCUAUGGACGGGGAUAACCUCGGGAAACUGAGAAUAAUACCCGAUAGAACAUUAUGCCUGGAAUGGUUUAUGUUUCAAAUAAUUUAUUGCCGUAGGAUGGGACUGCGGCCUAUCAGUUUGUUGGUGAGGUAAUGGCCCACCAAGACUAUUACAGGUACGGGCUCUGAGAGGAGUAGCCCGGAGAUGGGUACUGAGACACGGACCCAGGCCCUAUGGGGCGCAGCAGGCGAGAAAACUUUGCAAUGUGCGAAAGCACGACAAGGUUAAUCCGAGUGGUUUCUGCUAAAGGAACCUUUUGUCAGUCCUAGAAACACUGAUGAAUAAGGGGUGGGCAAGUUCUGGUGU